rnacentral:tRNA from 1 species
GGCUAUAGCUCAGUGGUAGAGUAUUUGCCUAGCAUUCAAGAGGCCCUGGGUUCAAUCCCCAGUAUUGCCA